rnacentral:rRNA from 1 species
AUUGAACGCUGGCGGCAGGCUUAACACAUGCAAGUCGAGCGGGGUGAUGGUGCUUGCACUAUCACUUAGCGGCGGACGGGUGAGUAAUGCUUAGGAAUCUGCCUAUUAGUGGGGGACAACAUCUCGAAAGGGAUGCUAAUACCGCAUACGUCCUACGGGAGAAAGCAGGGGAUCACUUGUGACCUUGCGCUAAUAGAUGAGCCUAAGUCGGAUUAGCUAGUUGGUGGGGUAAAGGCCUACCAAGGCGACGAUCUGUAGCGGGUCUGAGAGGAGGAUCCGCCACGCUGGGACGGAGACACGGCCCAGACUCCUACGGGAGGCAGCAGUGGGGAAUAUUGGACAAUGGGGGGAACCCUGAUCCAGCCAUGCCGCGUGUGUGAAGAAGGCCUUAUGGUUGUAAAGCACUUUAAGCGAGGAGGAGGCUCUUUUGGUUAAUACCCAAGAUGAGUGGACGUUACUCGCAGAAUAAGCACCGGCUAACUCUGUGCCAGCCGCCGCUGUAA